rnacentral:lncRNA from 1 species
UCACUAUGCGGCACGAUAUCAUUGUGUUGUUGAAGUAAUAACAGGAAACGUAUCAUUAUAACUCUUUGUUUGGUUCAACCCUUUGACGUCAAGGGGGUCAGGGGUGAGGCCUUUUAAUAAAUACCCGGCGAAUCACGUAGCCAAGAUUUAUUUGAGUUCCCCUUUAUUAACUAACAUCACAUCCACCCCAGAGCUUUAUAUUAUCUGUCUUACUCACACACAUGCACGUUGGCAAAAAAAUUAUGCGUGAGAACGCACGCAACGGAUAUAACUAUACGGACACUAUAGUUGAGAAAGAGUUAUUAUUUUUACUCUUCUUCUAAUUGAUCAAAUUACCAAGCGGGUUCGUUCAACUCAACAGACAAAACAAACUUCUAAUUUCUGCCAAGCCAUAGGGCACAAUGAAUUUGAUAUAGUUUGAUACAUGAUAAUGAAGCGAAUGAGUUAAGGCCAGGAUAUGAUCAUUGGUGAUUUUGUACUGGUUCACAGGUCAAAAUUAAUAUAUUUUUAUAUUUUGCUUAUAAACUUCAUUACAACAACUUGAUGAAAUUCUGUUUUGUCCUUGCUGUUCUAGCUAUUUUUAAACCGACAAAUCUUCAUUUUCGGUUGUAUUUGACAUGACAUGUUUUGAAUAACUUCGUCAAUCUUACAUUGAGAAUGAUGACCUUCAAUGACUUCUCUGACUGUCUUUCUAUACUUGUUUCUAUAUAUAAACUUGUUUAAUUUUUCAAGGCCGGGGAUGGCAACAUGUUUUCAAACAUGCAUUCUGGAAUAGGAGAAAUCUUGUAAAAAAUGAAAACAAUAUGUCGAUAUGCAAAAUUCUGUAUAUUCUUUCAGGGCUUAGAUUGGAUUUCGAGUGGAAGAAAACUGAUAUCGGAACAUGGAACAACGAGGGAACGGAGUGAAAAUGCAAAUUAAUUCGCCCACGGACAGAUCGUUGACGUUUCUUGCUGUUUGGCAGAGUGGGAUGCCCAAAAUGAAAUUCAUGAUCAAAUACAUGUUUCGAUUCACAUAUAUAUACACCAUUUAGAAUAAUUUCGUUUCAGUCAACACAUAAUGCAAGAGAUUACAAAAUAUAUGAUUAGAAAUUUUAGGAUUAGGAUUUCCGUUAUUAAAUCCACAAGAUUAUGUUUGUUCUCUUAUUUAAUUAAAAUGGUAUUUGUUAACAUACUAUUAUAUUAAUGUUCUACCGAGUGUAUGCGAUACCCAAAAAACCAAAACUGACAGUGAAAUCGUUAACAUUCUGCCUUCCCAAGUUUCGCCUCCUAGCUAUUCCAAUUUGAAAAUAUUGGGAGGAGUGAAGAGCUACGAAUUGGGGGAGUUUAAUUAAAACUAUUUGAAUGUGUUUGCAUGACCAUAGGUAAUAUACAUGACUACUGCUCGUCUUGGCUGACAAUUGUACAAAGUUUAAAAAUUCACAGAAGGAAACACGAGAAAUAGUAGCACCAAAAGCGACGCGGCUAUAGUGUAGAGUAUGGCACUAUGUCUAUAGGCGUUGAAAUUGCUGACGUAAUAAAAAGUCUAUUUUAUAUCAGCAAAAUCUGUGUAUAUGUGUGUCACGAACGCGUGUGGUUUCUGCCUGCCUUAUUUGUUUGUGAUGAAAAUAUAAGAUAUUUGGUCAAAAUUUUAAGAAUUGAAAACUGAUAUGAUGCAGUGAAUUCAAAGAACGUUUCAUAAAUUUGCUUUUGUUGUUAAAAUCGGCGUGAAAAC